GGGCGUGUAGCUCAGUUGGGAGAGCACCUGCUUUGCAAGCAGGGGGUCGCCGGUUCGAGCCCGGCCACGUCCACCA
rnacentral:tRNA from 4 species